rnacentral:lncRNA from 1 species
AGUCGGAGUCUGGGAGGAGAGGGGACGUUUCCUAUCGAUCAACAUCCGCAGACAGGUAAUCAGGCCCCAGGCCAGGCGCUGAUCGCCCCGGCUGUGUCCAUCCAUCUCCUUCCUGCGGUGCCGAGACUGGGGCCGGGCCCCGAGCCACAGUGCCCGCCCGUCACGUUCCAUCUGGGCAGCUGGCAUCGGGGGUCUCAGGGCUGCUCCACGGACCGAGCCUCAGGAAGUCCGAGUGAGGGGGGGAGAGAGAGAGAGAGGAGAGAGACCGGAGCAGACAUAGAGCCACUGGACGGCCAGUGCGCGCAGGGCCCCGAGCUCGGAGCCACAGACAGACACAGCGAACAAAACCGACAGAAGGUGGGCAGCGCUGCCAGCAGAGAGAGACCCAGUGCAGGGCGCCGUGCCCUCCUCACGCGGAGUGGAUCUACUUUGGCCAUGAGGGUGAGGACCAUGCAUCCACCUUGUAGGAUUGCUCACUCAGUUCUUGCUGCUCUCUUACCAAAAGGGGCAGGAAGACCCUCAUUCCUUGUGAGCACUGUGAAACAAUCCACCACAUCAAGCGUGAGCCGAAUCAGCCCCUCAGGAUGCUCCGGAGGACUCACGUGCGCAUUCACUCCUCCACUGGGAUUCACAAGGAGCUGGGAUGUGUUGGAUCCUGUUCAAGUCACCGGAGACGAAGCAGAGAACGAACAAGGAGCCUGCCCUGGAGGAGCUUCCGUUCCCCUGGGGAAACAGAUGACGCACCAGCGAACCAAUGAAGGGGUCACAGCCAAGGUUGGAUACAGCCUCCGUGCUGUCCGAGACACGGGAACAGGGCUCCACAAGUGGUUCCAGAUGCCGCGGGCCCCAUGCAGAGAGGUUGCUGGAAACCAGAUGCCUCCAGGAAGCCACGGGCCAUGCUGCCCCCAGCACCACCCCUGAGUCCCACGGAGAAGGCUGCUGAGGAAUUCGGCCCCAGGCCAGGCAGGGUGUGCCUGGGACUCCAGCCCCUCCAUUCCCUGAUGACAAAAUCUUCUUCGACUGCUCAAGACGCCUUGGCAGAGGCUGCGCGUGCAGGCGCCAGUCUAUUCAAGUUUUGCGUUCUUAUGUAAAAAUCCAGAUCUCAGGCUGCCUUUGUGGAGACCACGCACGUGGCAACAUCAGGCUGGCAUCCUUGGGUAGUGACUGUACACACUACC